rnacentral:sRNA from 1 species
CAUGGCCUCGGCGGUGUUUGAGGGCACGUCGCUCGUGAACAUGUUCGUGCGCGGCUGCUGGGUGAACGGCAUCCGCAGGCUCAUCGUCAGCCGGCGCGGCGACGAAGAGGAGUUCUUCGAGAUCCGCACGGAGUGGUCGGACCGCAGCGUGCUCUACCUGCACCGCAGCCUGGCGGACCUGGGCCGCCUGUGGCAGCGCCUGCGCGACGCCUUUCCCGAGGACCGGUCCGAGCUGGCGCAGGGGCCGCUGCGGCAAGGACUGGUUGCCAUAAAGGAAGCCCACGACAUAGAGACCAGGCUUAAUGAGGUGGAGAAGCUGCUGAAGACGAUCAUAAGCAUGCCCUCAUUCUAGAUCGGAAGUUGUGCUCACCUUCUUCGAAAGAUCUCCUCUGGAUCAGGUGUUAAAAAAUGAUAAUGUACAUAAAAUUCAACCCAGCUUUCAAAGUCCAGUCAAAAUAUCAGAAAUCAUGAGGUCCAAUGGAUUUUGUUUAGCAAAUACUGAAACAAUCGUUAUUGACCACAGUAUACCAAAUGGAAGAGACCAGCACCUGGGCGUGGACCCAGCAGAGCAUUUAUUUGAGAAUGGCAGUGAGUUUCCCUCAGAGCUGGAGGACGGGGACGACCCAGCAGCCUACGUCACCAACCUGUCGUAUUACCACCUGGUCCCCUUCGAGACAGACAUUUGGGACUGAACCUCUCUAUCAGGCCUCCCCCGCCUCAGCUGUUCACUGCCAGCUCUGAUGCUGUCCACUGUGCUGGCCCCCAUGGUCACAGCUGCUGCCCCAGCUCUGGACCUCCCAGACGUCCCAGGCCCCACUGACGCCAGGAGGCCUGGGUAUCCUGCAAGUGGAGCAGCAGGGGCUCCUAGUGGGUCAGGCUGACCGCAGAGUCUCCAGCAAGCUGAGGUCACAGCCGGAGGCCACAGGGCCUGUGUUCUGAGGGUCUUCACUCCCUGCUUGGUGCCCACAGGGCUGCGCACUGCCAGGGCAGGGACAGUUCCUGUGGGGCUCGCUCUCACUGCUACUGCUUCCUGGGAGGUGCGUCCCUCUUGGUGAAGUGGCCUAGUGCCCCCCAGCCACCCUGACUCCCCACCAUUCCCUCCCACGGCAAACGCACAAAACGUCUUGAGGGAGAUUUUGACAAGUCACCCAUUCCAGGUGCCACAGGCAGGGGAUGUUUAGUAAUCCAGGAUUUCUCUGAGAACUGGGAUAUGUGGCCUUUUUUUUUUUUUCUUUUUAUCUUUUAUCUGGAAACUGGGUUUGGGUCAACCCCAGGAGUGUUUGCAGAAGGCCCAGCACAGUGGGGGGUAUUGGCUGCAGGGCAGGGAAGGCAUUGCCGACUAGAUAACCGUGUGAGCUUGGACUGAGCGUUGGUGGUUCUUCCCAGAGGAAAGGAAUUUCUUCCCAGCCUGCCAGGUCUCUGGGCCUUCAGCGCGGGUCCUGGUGCUGCGGCCACACCACCCUGGGGUGCUCAUUGACAGAGCUGCCAUAAUGAACUUGAAAGGACGGGAAUCACGAGGGAAGCUGGGGCUCCCCUGCCCACAGGAGAGGAUCCCCGUUCUUCAAGCUUCUCUGCUCAGUGUCUACUAACGACCGACAUUUGCUAAUGUAAAUAAUAGUAAAUUAUUGAGAAUUCUAAUUCUUUUACAGUCUGUUUUUAAUCUAUUUUAAUUAAAUAAAAUCUAUGACUCUACUUUG